AAUUUGGGGAACCCACACUUGCACACCAGGGGCGGCGGUGGCCGCGCACCAUCACCUGGAGAGGUCGAGGGUACUGAAUCUCCAGAAGGCCAGAUGCGUGGAUGUGGCCCUAUUGUGGGUGCCCCAGGACAGCAGGAUGGUGGCUCUGAUCGUGGCUGCUCCGUAGACACUCGCACAGUCCGAGGACAACUGGCUAGGGGGCUGGGGGGUGAGCUUGUUCUGAGAGAACGAUCAAAUCAAAGCCUGUGGCACUGGGGGGAGAGCAGGUCAGCUUAGAGGAUUGGGAGCGUGAUUGGGCGCUGUACAUAACAAGCCGGUAGCUCACAGCGACAGGAAUAGUGCUCGCCUUGGCCGGCUGGCUCUCGGGCGACCCGCCCCGCCCUGCGUCCCAGCUGCUGGCUGCGAAGCGCACAAAGGCUCAGCAGGAAGCUUCCUGAGCCAGGGCAAUGACUUCUGUGACCUGACUGGCCUCCAGGAACCGCAGGGAGGGGGCGUCCCUUGGAAUGCUGAGCUGAGGGAGGGGUGGCAAAAGCUAAGGAAGGGCCCAAUUCCCUUGGGACUCUUGUCCUGGUAAUGUGUUGACAGGGAUACCUGGCUAGGCUGGAGGCCCUUUUGGUGCCCCUGUGCAUGGGAAAAGGAGCCUCAGGCUCAUCUUUUGGCUUUGAAGAAGUUCUAAUUAGUCGGGAGCAAGCUGGGAUUAAGAGGCAAUUUUGCGCACUGACACCUAAGAGGAGGCCUCUGCUCAGAGAAGACUCUAGGAAGAGCUAAACCAGAGAGAACCCCAAGCUCUGGGCCAAGUUCUUGUGCCCUGUGUGAAAUUCAGGGGCACUUGCCCUUCCUAAGGCAGGCAGAGUCUCCCAAGCUGCCUGGUUUUACAUUCCAACCCCUGCCCUCUGACCCCAGGGGAGCUAGCUCUCUUGGGUACUCUUGCGCUUAUGAAAACCAUCUCUUUGCAAUGCAGAGAAAGAAGUUAUAACUAACUCGAGUUUUCUUUCUUUGAAUGACAACUCCUCAAAAAAAAAUGUAAUUUCUUCUAGUUUCCUCUCUGCUUUCCCAUGCUCUGAUCUAAUGACUGGCUGCCACAUUCUCAAUGCCAAGACAAGACAAUGGGCAGUAAAGUUGCAAGGCUCAGGACAGUUGUGGUUUCUGGGGCCCCUCCCUACAAAGUGAUUUUUAUAAGAAACACCAAACAGAAAUGGUGACUAAGAGCACCCUAUUGGUUGCCCGAAUCCUGCUCUCGCAUUAGGAGUUCAUUAAGCCCUCUUUCUUGCCAAAUUACAGGCUUCAGUUUUGUUUUGCUUCCAGCUAGAGUUUGUCUUCCUGGAUUUCGAAAGUGGCCCCUCCAGCAGUCCUGAUCUAGAUGAGUCUUUCAGACCAAGUUCUAUUUCACAGAAGCAAAAAAAAGAAACAAAAACAAAAACAGUCCUAGGAAAGAUAAAAAGGCUGUCAUUUCCUACUUGGCCAGCCGGGUCUCCGAUUACAUAUGAUUUUUUAAUUUCAUAAAAUAUUAGUAAAAAAUUCUGCUGAGCUGAAGAGAUAGCUCUGCACUUAAGAGCAUUUGCUCCUCUUGCAGUGGUCUUGGGUCCAGUUCCCAGAACCCACCUGGUGGCUCACAUCCAUCUCUAACUCUACUUCCAAGGAAUCCAACAAACACCCUCUUCUGGCCUCUGUGCAGGCACACAAGUGGUGCACAGACACACACAAGCAAACCACUCAUACACAUAAAAUAAAAAUAAAUAUUUUAAAACGUGAUACUGCUGCCAAAGACAGAAUUAAGCUAUAACUUAAAUUGCCAAACUAUGGAGUGUAGGUAGGGCUGGGGUUGUACUCUUAAAAAAAAAAGUUCCAACAGAAAAUCCUAAUGUUAGAGGUACAAAUGGAUUCAGGGAGAGUGUUGCUCCUAUGGAGAUGGAGGAUGGCAUUAAAAUGUGUGGUUCAAAAGUGAAAUAUAAACUUGGUGCAGCGGCACGUUGCCUUUACUUUUAGCACUCAGGAGACAGAGGCUGGUGGAUCUCUGAGUCUGAGGCCAGCCUGGUCUUCAUACCGACUUCUAGGCCAGCCAACCCUGCACAGUGAGAUCCUAUCCAAAAUAAAAGGUGAAAUAUGACUAUGGUUUAUUUCACACAAUUCUCCAUUUUAAAUGUAAAUGCCCUUCACUCAACCUAGUCAAAUUUUGCUAGAAGGAAUUUGGGGGAGUGUUAAACCAAACCUUGAUCCUUUCCUCCAAAAUCAGGUUUCUUUUUACACAAAUGUGGCAAAUGCGCUCCAAAGAAAGAAUGCUUUGUCUGGAUGGCUUGAAUAUUGAUGUAUAGUUUGGCCAAGAACCCAGGGUUGCCUUUCUACUCUAUUAUGUGACCUCAUGUAUGAUAACAAUCAAAUCCUGCAACAUGCUUUACUCAGCCUCUUACUAACCUUAAAAGACUUCAAGUGGUUUUUGAAGAGCACAUUGUUCCCACCUGUAUUGAACCCCACCCAUCAGAACUGCCCAUGACAGUGCAUUGAUAUUCAAAAUGUCACAUUACAAAAGUAAAGAUGCUGUAGAAACUCUUAAAACUCUCAACAUCAAAAUUCCAGUUUUGCAUAAAAAUAUUGUGUUUAAUUGCUGGCCCAACCUAACACGUUUUGCCAGAGAAGAUGUGACGGCGUGUGUUAACUGAAGACAUUUUUACAUUAUGUGUGCUUGUAAGAUCUUGUUUAGAAAAUGUAACUGUCAACACAAGAAAAUCAUUGUCAUUUAAGUAGCAGUUGUAUAGUGUUGGUAUUUUUAUUUCUGUGCAAUAUUAAGUAAUAUUAAAUAAAAUUUAGUCUCUCUGUGUUU
rnacentral:lncRNA from 1 species